UACGUAGGGUGCAAGCGUUGUCCGGAAUUAUUGGGCGUAAAGAGCGCGUAGGCGGUCUGUUGCGUCGGCUGUGAAAACCCGGGGCUCAACUCCGGGCCUGCAGCCGAUACGGGCAGACUAGAGUUCGGCAGGGGAGACUGGAAUUCCUGGUGUAGCGGUGAAAUGCGCAGAUAUCAGGAGGAACACCGGUGGCGAAGGCGGGUCUCUGGGCCGAUACUGACGCUGAGGAGCGAAAGCGUGGGGAGCGAACAGG
rnacentral:rRNA from 1 species